rnacentral:tRNA from 1 species
GAGGGUAUAGCUCAGUGUUAGAGCACAUGCUUAGCAUGCACAGGGUCCUGGGUUCAAUCCCCAGUCCCUCCA